rnacentral:rRNA from 1 species
AGGUGAACAGACUGAAAUAUGAGAAUUCUGCUUCUCAAUUUUAUCUGUAAGUUCAACAUCGAGGUCGCAAAAUUUAAUAUAGAUGUGAACUCCCCACUAAAAUUACGCUGUUAUCCCUAAGGUAACUUAGUCUUUUUUCCCUAAAGGGGAUCAAAUAGACAUAAAUUUAUGAUUUUUAAAAUUAAAGUUUAAAUUUAAUCACCACCCCAGCAAAAAACAAUAAAAAUUUAAUCAAAUUCGGAAUAAUAAAAAUUAAUUAAAUUUAAGUGAAUAAAGUUCUAUAGGGUCUUAUCGUCCCAAGAAAAAAGUUAAGCAUUUUAACCUAAAAUUUAAAUUUUAAAAAUAAAUAUAAUAAAAUAUACAUCUCAUUUUUCCAUUCAUACCAGCUCCUAAUUAAGAAACUAAUUAUUAUGCUACCUUUGCACAGUCAAAAUACUGCAGCCAUUUAAUAAAAAUAUCAUAGGGCAGGAAGUACCUUAAAAAAACACA